AUGGGUGGGGGUGGGAUUGUUUGG
rnacentral:piRNA from 1 species